UACGAAGGGUGCAAGCGUUACUCGGAAUUACUGGGCGUAAAGCGUGCGUAGGUGGUUUGUUAAGUCUGUUGUGAAAGCCCCGGGCUCAACCUGGGAAUGGCAAUGGAUACUGGCAAGCUAGAGUGCGGUAGAAGGGUAGUGGAAUUCCCGGUGUAGCGGUGAAAUGCGUAGGAGAUCGGGAGGAACACCAGUGGCGAAGGCGGCUACCUGGACCAGCACUGACACUGAGGCACGAAAGCGUGGGGAGCAAACAGG
rnacentral:rRNA from 1 species